rnacentral:rRNA from 1 species
UACAGAGGGGGCAAGCGUUAUUCGGAAUUCUUGGGCGUAAAGGGCGCGCAGGCGGCCUUAGAAGUCAGAUGUGAAAGCCCCGGGCUCAACCUGGGGAUGGCAUUUGAUACUCUGAGGCUGGAGUACGGGAGAGGAGAGUGGAAUUCCCAGUGUAGAGGUGAAAUUCGUAGAUAUUGGGAAGAACACCGGUGGCGAAGGCGGCUCUCUGGACCGUAACUGACGCUGAGGCGCGAAAGCGUGGGGAGCAAACAGG